rnacentral:rRNA from 1 species
UACGUAGGGUGCGAGCGUUAAUCGGAAUUACUGGGCGUAAAGCGUGCGCAGGCGGUUCGUUAAGUUCGUUGUGAAAGCCCCCGGGCUCAACCUGGGAACUGCAAUGGAAACUGGCGGGCUUGAGUGUGGCAGAGGGGGGGUGGAAUUCCGAGUGUAGAGGUGAAAUUCGUAGAUAUUCGGAAGAACACCAGUGGCGAAGGCGGCUCACUGGACCGGCAUUGACGCUGAGGUGCGAAAGCGUGGGGAGCAAACAGG